rnacentral:rRNA from 1 species
UACGAGUGCCCCAAGCGUUAUCCGGAAUCAUUGGGCGUAAAGGGUGUGUAGGUGGCACGAUUAGUCUUCUGUAAAAUACCCGGGCUUAACCUGGGACCUGCAGGGGAAACGGUCGAGCUAGAGGGUGCGAGAGGUGAAUGGAACUCAUGGAGUAGGGGUGAAAUACGUAGAUAUCUGGAGGAACACCGGUGGCGAAGGCGGCGAUCUGGCCCAACAUUGACACUGAGACCCGAAAGCGUGGGGAUCAAAC